UAGUGCCCCCCACAUCCCACCUCAGGAUUAAGUAUCUCUCAGGCUUUUCAAACUCCAGAAUGGGGCUGGGAGGUGGGGGUCUUGCGUGCAUGAGGAGCAGGAAUGUAGAGGCCCUCCCUCCCCCAGCCUCAUUUUAUAAAUAAGGAAACCACAGAGGCUUAGAGAGGGAAGUGAGCUAACCUGGGUCAUAACAGCAUGAGUGGGGGGAACGUCUCAAACAUACCUGGGUGUGGCUCUGUUUACACACACACACACACACACACACACACACACACACACACACACACACUAUCUGCCUAGCAGAGGCCACUCACACACACACUAUCUGCCUAGCAGAGGCUUGGAUCCCAGAGAGUUCCCCUGUCUUCUGUCUGGUACACUUGGAGGGAAGAUCGCCUGAGCUGUCAG
rnacentral:lncRNA from 1 species